rnacentral:tRNA from 1 species
ACGUCGGUAGCGUAGUGGUCAAUGCAGUCUGCCGAAAUCAGAAAGACGCGGGUUCAAUUCCCAUGCGAUGUC